CAGAGAAAGCAAAACUUAAGAAAACUAGGGCAACAGCUGUUCACAGAUCAGCUGAGGGCGGGAACAGUGUGCUAGUAUAAAUAACAGGAAGACGCAUUGAUCUGUCCUUUCUACCAUCAGAGCCUCCUUCUUAGUGCUUACAGAUCAGCAGGGUCUAUGGUGAUUCCUCUGUGGGAGACGCCAUGGAACCCUGAGUGAUUUCACAGCACUAAUGUCAUCAUGAAGGAGGCGGAGUUCAUGUAAAUCCUUGCUGCCAGGGGCGGGAUCAUCUGGCCCAGCACAAUUCAGAGGGGAAACUCAGUCUCCACCUCUGUUUUGCGUUGGUGUCCGGAUGCGCAGAGGCCAGUGCCGUAUGCCUAAAAGCUGCGAAGCCUGACAUCUUGCGUAAAGCCUCAAGUCUACAAAGUCUACAAAGUGAAGAACCAACCAGAAAAAAAUCGUACCAAUGCAUGUAAAGCUAAAAGUGAACCAAGAAACCUCUUUAACACGUACCUGACUCAUAAAAAAAUGCUACAAAUGUAAAGUGAAGUGAAGAAGUAUUUUUUUGGUGAAACCUUUGGUUUCUGCAUUGCUUGGUUCGGUUGGUCCGGGGCCCAGCUGAUAAAACAAAUAGCCCCGGAACAAAAUGUAAAAACAAAAAAACUAAAUAAAAAUAGCAAAGUCCGCAACAAAAAUCCAUUGUGCUGUGUUUAUUUUUUGUUUAUUUGAUGACAAAUUUACUAACAAUAGCACAUCUUACAGUAUAGGCCAAUAUGGGAUUAUUUUUAGACAAAGUAAAUAUAUCUAUAAUAUCUAUCUAUCUAUCUAUCUAUGUGUAUAUAUAUAUAUAUAUAUAUAUAUAUAUAUAUAUAUAUAUAUAUAUAUAUAUAUAUAUACACAGACACACACACACACAAUACUGAGAAAAAGUCUGAGAAAAGGCCACCACCAGCUUUGUUGUUUUGCCGAUGGUUUAAUGACCAUCCAUAUUUAUUUUUCAGUCUCUUUAUUACGAUACAAACAGAAAAUACAGGAAAUAUGUAGGCCUACACAAAAUGUAAAAAAAAAAAUUCUGAAAAAAUUUGUUUCAAACAAAAAUCAGUAUUUAGUGUGACCUCCUGAACCUCUUCCAUUUUCUCUAAAAUGAAACUCUGAGAAACAUCUCAUCAGAUUUUGAAAGUUCUCUUGGCCGUCCAGUCCUUUUCAAUUACAUUUAGGUUUAAGAGAGCCAGGUUCCUGCUAUUGCUUGUCAUUAUGUACUUGCCACUUUAGCCUAUAAAAGAUUUUUUUCUUCUUUUUUUUUUAAUACUGCACAAAAAGCCUAAUGGUGACCUAAGACUUAGUAUAUAGUAGUAUAUAUAUAUAAAUAUAUAUAUAUAGGUAUGUCUCUACCUAGUUAUUACCCAGUUAUUGUAAUUACUAUAAUAAGUACACAGUAUAUACAUGGGAAACAGGACUGUAAAGUAAAGUGCUACCAAAAAUUGUUACACAGUUUACCUUUAAGUUAAAUAUGAAUCCUUUGUUUGUGCAUGGCAAAAAAAAAAAAAAAAAGCCUGAUGUCAGUAAGUGAGCGUACCUUCACAGAGACACACAUCACUUUCCAGAAUGUUUUCUUUCAGAAUCAGAAGAUUCUGAUUUCAUGAUUCUGGUGGAAUGAUCUUCCCAACCCUAAUGCCGAAUCCCUGACAAUUCAUGAAACAGCAUAGGCUAGCCUCUCAUCUCUUUCGUCAGCACUUAACAACACCCUGCUGAAUGAAUGGAAAAAUGAAUGAUGAGGCUAAAUAAUAGGCUAAAUAAAUAACAUCUUCCCCUGUGCUUUCACUUUCCUUAAUCUCUCCCUGUUCUAGCUUGCACUAUUCUAAACGAUGUCUGAAACUUUAUUGCCUCUUUAUUGUGUUUUCUUAGGUGGGGUGACUCUAGAAUCUUAUUUGCUCCCAAUCUAGGCCUAUCUGUCAUGUCCACAAGAAUGUCUUUGCUUAUCUUACAGCUUAUACGUUUGUAUCUGAAUUAUGUAAAAGACAUGAUUCAGAAACUCUGAAAGCAAAGUUUCAUUUCUGUGAAAACAUCGACUGUAAUGUGUCUGGACCGGAUUGGCUGCUGAUUUGUUUGUUCUUUUUUAUGAGACGUGAACAGUUUCUGCAGGAAGAGUAUAAAUAACAGAUGAAGAUCCAUUUCUGCAUUUACUGCACUACGCUGCUCUGAAGCUUAAACAAAUCAUCAGAAUGAUCUUUUCCGAGGGGAGUGAUGAAGAGGAUGAAGAAGAUGAUGAUGAAGAAGAUGAUGGAGGUGCUGGAGUAAGUGUCUGCUGCCAAGGGUAGACAACUGCUCCAGACCUUGAUGCAGCGUGUCGAGAAAGACCCAAUAGUACGCUGGAUCCGUGAACUGUGUGUAUUUGCUGACACAAGCAAGCAGCAGCCAAAGAAACACACAGCUUCUUUUGUGACAAAUGUCACAACCCAAGCACCUCCCGCGCCAUGUGUGUCCAUGGCAAACCUGACACGUAGACCAUGAUUCCUCCAUGGGAACGAUGGACCUCGCAACUUUCCCGCUGUUCAGUGGCAGCACCAUCGGUUUUCUUCAGAACGGCUCUGUUUUUGUGUCUGUUUGUGCAACCCUGAAGAAACCAUGGAGAGAAGACUGAAAUAUACAUAGAGAGGUGAUGACCUCAUGGGUAAAGAGCUGCUGUUCCAGAGGUUGGAAGAUGUGAGCCAGUUAUUUCUGUCAUCACAAUCGUCCUCAAUCACCAUUGUGCCGUCGAGCAACGCACGUGACUCCAAGUUAUUUCAGCAGAACUGACUGUUUUUUUUUGCAACAGGUCUACAGUAGUCAACCAUCCAUUAAAAUACAAACAGAGAUGGGCUGGAUGGGCAUUUUGAAAUGUACUAAUGGAUACAUGUUGCUCACAUUUAUUUAUUGGGAGGUCAAUGCCCCUUUGAAGCCCAGGUGUAUUUGUUGUAAGGAUAUAUUCAGACUAUGGCUGCUUGGUCCAAAGCUCUCCAGUAUAACUAUAGCAGAAGGUUUCUGGAGCAGCGGAUCAGGGUCAGAGGUAAAAGUCCACUGUUUUAUGUUUUUUUUUCUUUUCAUUUGAAUUCUUUUACCUCACUUGAUGCCACGUCAACGGCACUCGGCUAUAGAGAGCAUGCUCAGAGCGAGACGACAUGUUCACCAGGAUAGGGUUCACGGGCACGACGGUUCUGCGCAUCGUGCUGACUUAGUUGAAUCCACUGGUUCAGAUACCUUACUUACACUACACAAUAUGACACACUGCUAAAUCUCACGCACAGGUUUUCUCGCAGUGCUGUUGAACAAAAGUUACAUAACAAAUGUAACGUACCUGUAAUGAGAAGUAAUCUCAUACAGAACAUGGUCCGAAUAAAAGGACCUGGUCUAGCCAGAAAUGAAGCCCAAUAGAUGUAACAACAUCAGAGGCCCUCAUAUCCUAUUGAGCACUCAUUAGAUUCUUGGUUAUGUGGCAAGGGGAUCAUUAGCAGGUGAUAUAUUUAGUUUUUACAAUGAUGUUUUUUAGAAUGUCAUGAUUGCAGAUGGAUUUCUGUGCAUAUGUCUGCCUGAAUGCAUCACUUUCUAAUGAGCUACACGUCUAACUUCCCCUAAAUAAAGAAUGUUGUGAAAAAAAAAAA